CCAGACUCCUACGGGAGGCAGCAGUGAGGAAUAUUGGUCAAUGGUCGGGAGACUGAACCAGCCAAGCCGCGUGAGGGAGGAAGGUACAGAGUAUCGUAAACCUCUUUUGUCAGGGAACAAAGGCGGGGACGUGUCCCCGGAUGAGUGUACCUGAAGAAAAAGCAUCGGCUAACUCCGUGCCAGCAGCCGCGGUAAUACGGAGGAUGCGAGCGUUAUCCGGAUUUAUUGGGUUUAAAGGGUGCGCAGGCGGAGGUGCAAGUCAGCGGUCAAAUUGCGGGGCUCAACCCCGUACUGCCGUUGAAACUACAUCCCUUGAGUGCGCGAGAAGUAUGCGGAAUGCGUGGUGUAGCGGUGAAAUGCAUAGAUAUCACGCAGAACUCCGAUUGCGAAGGCAGCAUACCGGCGCUCAACUGACGCUCAUGCACGAAAGUGUGGGUAUCGAACAGGAUUAGAUACCCUAGUA
rnacentral:rRNA from 1 species